rnacentral:rRNA from 1 species
UGCGGAAGGAUCAUUAAAGAGUAAGGGUGCUCAGCGCCCGACCUCCAACCCUUUGUUGUUAAAACUACCUUGUUGCUUUGGCGGGACCGCUCGGUCUCGAGCCGCUGGGGAUUCGUCCCAGGCGAGCGCCCGCCAGAGUUAAACCAAACUCUUGUUAUUAAACCGGUCGUCUGAGUUAAAAUUUUGAAUAAAUCAAAACUUUCAACAACGGAUCUCUUGGUUCUCGCAUCGAUGAAGAACGCAGCGAAAUGCGAUAAGUAAUGUGAAUUGCAGAAUUCAGUGAAUCAUCGAAUCUUUGAACGCACAUUGCGCCCCUUGGUAUUCCGAGGGGCAUGCCUGUUCGAGCGUCAUUACACCACUCAAGCUAUGCUUGGUAUUGGGUGCCGUCCUUAGUUGGGCGCGCCUUAAAGACCUCGGCGAGGCCUCACCGGCUUUAGGCGUAGUAGAAUUUAUUCGAACGUCUGUCAAAGGAGAGGACUUCUGCCGACUGAAACCCUUUUAUUUUUCUAGGUUGACCUCGGAUCAGGUAGGGAUACCCGCUGAACUUAAGCAUA